UUGUUUCAGCUUACGAAAAUGUAGCAUCAGUCUCUCUGACUUAAGUCUUAAGUGGAGUCUGGUCUGGGGAGUCUGUGGAGUGAUAUUGUGUAAUUAUACGUGUUUAUGGAGUUGCGAAUAAGUUAAAAAGCUCGAAACUGAUUGAAACACGGGCAUCGGAAUUCAUCCGGUAUAAACGGUGAAUGUGCACGCUGACACACGUGAAUGUACCAUACACACCUUGUGAAUGUUAACGAAAGAUAAAUGAGUUUGCAAGAUAGCUUGUUUUCCGAGGAUGUCGAAUACGACGUAAACGUCUUUACGAAGGAUAAGACACGUAAGAGAGUACUCGUCUUUCCACCCGUCAAUAAUUAUCGUCGGUACAUAAUACACCAGCUGAUACAGGAUCGUUUCCCAGAUUUGCUGCAUACAUUCUCGAUUGGCCAAGGCUCGGCUAGGCGUACCGUAGUAUGUUACAAGAGUGAUGUGAGAAGAGAUUGGGACCCAAAACCGAAUUUUCCUGAGUGUAAAACAAAUUUUGCGUCAACGCAAAAGGACACAAAUCGCGGAAUGGGUAUCGAAGGCCGAUGCUCGCCCUCGAUGUCUCCAGAAUGUAAACUGCAGCGACAAGCUAAAUCAAUACCAACAGUUGAGAUUUAUAGACCACCAGCGGCUAGAAAGCUUAACAAUUGCUCACGGAUAAAUAGUAUACAGACACAAUUACAAUCGACUACAGAUGUUUCUUCAGUCAAGAAUGUACGUCAAAAACGACCUGAUCGAGCGGUUUACGUGCCUAGACCUCGCAGAAGUUUAGAAACUGAAGAUAAAAAGCCGCAAAGCCUGAAAGUUUCUCAUAUAACAUUAAAUGGAGAUUCAAAAAUGAAUAAUAAUUCUAAACUACAAGAUGUAUGUUGUAGUCAACAAAAUAUAGACGAUACAAUCUCAAAUGAUCAAACUUUUGAGAAUCGCAACACGAAGAUCGAGGAUGAACAUCUCCCACGAGAUAUUUCAGAAAAUAUAGUUUCUUUAGAUUCUGAAAAAAUUUCCGAUACUAUUAGUAAUGCCGAGCACAUAUAUAAAUUUUCGGAAGAAUUAAAAGAUAUGCCAACUUUAUCUAAAGAGGAAGAAACUAAUGUCGCAACUAAUAAUCUGGACGAAAACAGUACUAAUUCCAAUUUUUUAAAAUCAUCCAACCAAGUUGAAAUUAGUGACGAACAAUUAGGAAAAAUACAAGAAGUUACAAAAGAAAAUCAAUCCUCAAUCGAGUAUAUGAGUUGUAACGAUGUAAUUGACGAUAAAGAUAGACAACUAGUUAGGCAGAAUUUAGUAUCAGAUGUUCUAAUAAUUUCCGAUACUACUCGAAGGAAACCCAAACAGUCUGAACAACUUUCUCCAAUUCGUGUAACACCUGAGAAAAAAGUAAAAAAGAUAGAAAGGCAAAAAAGCAAACCGGUUCCACCACCUUCUCCACCUCUAAAAAUAAAUAGAGAUGAAUGCGAUUGGGAUAGCUUAUUUGACGAUAAUGGCGACUGUUUAGAUCCAACGUUAAUAGAAGAGCUUACAUCAGCAGUAGGUGAAGUAGUUAUAGAACAACCAAAGAACGAUUACAAGGCAUACAGCAAACAAAUUGAAGUGUCAAGUGAUGAAUUUGCACAUAUUGUGGAAAUUUACAAUUUUCCUUCCGAGUUCAAAACUAGCGAUUUGGCGGCUGUCUUCAGUUCUUUUAAGAAUGGUGGUUUCGAACUCAAGUGGGUGGACGAUACUCAUUGUUUGGGAGUUUUCAGCAGUCCUCUUGUUGCUGCCGAAGUGUUAGCAUCGAAUCAUCCAUUUGUGAAAACGAGACCACUUAGCGAAGCUACCGCUUUGAGUAAAACAAAAGCUAGAAGAAGUGCAGAAUAUUUGCAACCAUAUAGGAAUCGUCCUGAAACAUGCGCCGCCUUAGCUAGACGAUUAGUUACAGGUGCAUUGGGUGUGAAGCUUGCUACAGCUAGACAAGAACGUGAGCACGAAAAGAAUAUAUUACGUGAAGCAAAAGAGAAAAGACGAUUAGCCAACAAACAACGAGAGGAUGUUUGGGAGGGCAUAAUACCUACAAAGUAGCAUUCAUCAUAUAUCAUUAAUAUAGAAUAUUUAUAAGGAUUUGUACCUCAUAAUAUAUUAUACGCAUUCACGUUAUUGUGGUUGGCAUAGCUCAUCGUAGCUCGCAUAAUGUUAUUCUCGCAUUAGCGCGCAUGCGUAUAUUUGUGCCUUACUCGUGUCUAUUCGUUACAUUGAUAAACAAGAAAUUGGACAUUUUCCCACAAUUUGCCAAUUUAUCCGCUUUGCUACAGAAGAUCAACGAUAAUUUAUCAGUAAACGAAUUUGAUGUAGUGGAGUAUAAAGGAAAAAAAGUAGUAAAGACGAUAUCAGCGGUGCGCCCAUUCACGGUGUCCUCUACAUCUUUCCAUGCAAGAGAAUGCAAUAUUUAAAUAAAUAUAAUAUAUAAUAGCGAGCGAUGAUUUAGUUACUAAAAUUAGUACUUGAUGUCAAAAUUAUAAGUGUAAUGAGACAACAUAUAGAAAAAAAAAAAAAAAAAAGAGAAGAAAUGAAAUAUUUUGCAAUGAUCUUGCAAAAUGAUCGAUCUACUAUUGCGAGUUUAUACACAGCAACAAACAAUGAUACAUAUAUAGUAGUAUAUGGUAUCGCAGGACAAUAAGUUUAAUCAUUAUUUACUAGAACUAGUAACAAGAUUCUUUCACGUGCACAUCGAAUCGUUAUAUAGCGAUAUUUCAAACAAAA